rnacentral:rRNA from 1 species
GACAGAGGGUGCUAGCGUUGUUCGGAAUGACUGGGCGUAAAGGGCGCGUAGGCUGUUAAAGAAGUCAGAUGUGAAAGCCCUGGGCUCAACCUAGGAACAGCAUUUGAUACUGAUUGACUGGAGUGCGAGAGAGGAAAGCGGAAUUCCUAGUGUAGAGGUGAAAUUCGUAGAUAUUAGGAGGAACACCAGAGGCGAAGGCGGCUUUCUGGCUCGCAACUGACGCUGAGGCGCGAAAGCGUGGGGAGCAAACAGG